UACAGAGGGUGCAAGCGUUAAUCGGAUUUACUGGGCGUAAAGGGCGCGUAGGUGGUUAUUUAAGUGAGUUGUGAAAUCCCCGAGCUUAACCUGGGAACUGCAACUUAUACUGGGUAACUGGAGUGCAAUAGAGGGUAGUGGAAUUUCCGGUGUAGCGGUGAAAUGCGUAGAUAUCGGAAGGAACACCAGUGGCGAAGGCGGCUACCUGGAUUGACACUGAGACUGAGGCGCGAGAGCGUGGGGAGCAAACAGG
rnacentral:rRNA from 1 species